AUUGAACGCUGGCGGCAUGCCUUACACAUGCAAGUCGAACGGUAGAGGUAGCAAUACCUUGAGAGUGGCGAACGGGUGAGUAAUACAUCGGAACAUGCCCAACUGUGGGGGAUAACGUAGCGAAAGUUACGCUAAUACCGCAUACGAUCUACGGAUGAAAGCGGGGGACCGUAAGGCCUCGCGCAGUUGGAGUGGCUGAUGCCAGAUUAGCUAGUUGGUGGGGUAAAAGCCUACCAAGGCAACGAUCUGUAGCUGGUCUGAGAGGACGACCAGCCACACUAGGACUGAGACACGGCCCAGACUCCUACGGGAGGCAGCAGUGGGGAAUUUUGGACAAUGGACGAAAGUCUGAUCCAGCAAUGCCGCGUGCAGGACGAAGGCCUUCGGGUUGUAAACUGCUUUUGUACGGAGCGAAAAAGUCUUCUUUAAUACAGAGGGCUCAUGACGGUACCGUAAGAAUAAGCACCGGCUAACUACGUGCCAGCAGCCGCCGUAA
rnacentral:rRNA from 1 species